rnacentral:rRNA from 1 species
CACGUGGGGUGCGAGCGUUGUCCGGAAUUAUUGGGCGUAAAGAGCUCGUAGGCGGUGUGUCGCGUCGGCCGUGAAAACCUGCAGCUUAACUGUGGGCUUGCGGUCGAUACGGGCAUCACUGGAGUUCGGCAGGGGAGACUGGAAUUCCUGGUGUAGCGGUGAAAUGCGCAGAUAUCAGGAGGAACACCGGUGGCGAAGGCGGGUCUCUGGGCCGUUACUGGACGCUGAGGAGCGAAAGCAUGGGGAGCGAACGGA